UUCCGGGCGCAUGCUAAUACAUGCAGUCGAGCGGACCGAACGGAAGCUUGCUUCUGUUCGGUUAGCGGCGGACGGGUGAGUAACACGUGGGUAACCUGCCCGUAAGACCGGGAUAACUCCGGGAAACCGGGGCUAAUACCGGAUAACACCGAAGACCGCAUGGUCUUUGGUUGAAAGGUGGCUUUUGCUACCACUUACGGAUGGGCCCGCGGCGCAUUAGCUAGUUGGUGAGGUAACGGCUCACCAAGGCGACGAUGCGUAGCCGGCCUGAGAGGGUGACCGGCCACACUGGGACUGAGACACGGCCCAGACUCCUACGGGAGGCAGCAGUAGGGAAUCUUCCGCAAUGGACGAAAGUCUGACGGAGCGACGCCGCGUGAGCGAAGAAGGUCUUCGGAUCGUAAAGCUCUGUUGUUAGGGAAGAAGAAGUACCGUUCGAAUAGGGCGGUACGGUGACGGUACCUAACGAGAAAGCCCCGGCUAACUACGUGCCAGCAGCCGCGGUAAUACGUAGGGGGCGAGCGUUGUCCGGAAUUUAUUGGGCGUAAAGCGCGCGCAGGCGGUCCCUUUAAGUCUGAUGUGAAAGCCCACGGCUCACCGUGGAAGGUCUUUGAAAGUGGGGGACUUAAGUGCAAA
rnacentral:rRNA from 1 species